GGUCACAUCUCAUUAGAACACCAAUUCCUGUAUGAUCACCGAAGUUAAGCAAUGUCAAGCCUGGUUAGUACUUAGAUGGGUGACCAUUUUGGAAUGUCAGGUGCCGCAAG